rnacentral:rRNA from 1 species
UCCGUGUGUCGUCGUCGCGAGUCACGAGAGUAGUGACUCGUGCUAGGACGAACGCUGGCGGCAUGCCUAACACAUGCAAGUCGAACGGAGCUUAAGAAGCUUGCUUUUAAGCUUAGUGGCGGACGGGUGAGUAACGCGUGAGUAACCUGCCUCUUAGUGGGGAAUAAUGUACUGAAAAGGACACUAAUACCGCAUAAUGUAUUGAGAUCGCAUGGUUUUGAUACCAAAGAUUUAUCGCUGAGAGAUGGACUCGCGUCCGAUUAGCCAGUUGGUGGGGUAACGGCCUACCAAAGCGACGAUCGGUAGCCGGACUGAGAGGUUGAACGGCCACAUUGGGACUGAGACACGGCCCAGACUCCUACGGGAGGCAGCAGUGGGGGAUAUUGCGCAAUGGGGGAAACCCUGACGCAGCAAUGCCGCGUGGAGGAUGAAGGUCUUCGGAUUGUAAACUCCUUUUGUCAGGGACGAAAAUGACGGUACCUGACGAAUAAGCUCCGGCUAACUACGUGCCAGCCGCCGC